rnacentral:rRNA from 1 species
CAUGCAAGUCGAGCGAUGAAAUUUUGACAGAUCCCUUCGGGGUGAAGACAAAAUGGAUUAGCGGCGGACGGGUGAGUAACACGUGAGUAACCUGCCUUAGACAUUGGGAUAGCCUCGGGAAACCGGGAUUAAUACCGAAUAAAAUCGUAGGUGCACAUGCACUAAUGAUCAAAACUCCGGUGGUCUAAGAUGGACUCGCGUCCCAUUAGCUAGUUGGUAGGGUAACGGCCUACCAAGGCGACGAUGGGUAGCCGGCCUGAGAGGGUGAACGGCCACAUUGGAACUGAGAAACGGUCCAAACUCCUACGGGAGGCAGCAGUGGGGAAUAUUGCACAAUGGAGGGAACUCUGAUGCAGCGACGCCGCGUGAACGAAGAAGGCUUUCGAGUCGUAAAGUUCUUUUAUAUGGGAAGAUAAUGACGGUACCAUAAGAAAAAGCCCCGGCUAACUACGUGCCAGCAGCCGCGGUAAUACGUAGGGGGCUAGCGUUGUCCGGAAUCACUGGGCGUAAAGGGUUCGCAGGCGGAAAUGCAAGUCAGGUGUAAAAGGCAGUAGCUUAACUACUGUAAGCAUUUGAAACUGCAUAUCUUGAGAAGAGUAGAGGUAAGUGGAAUUUUUAGUGUAGCGGUGAAAUGCGUAGAUAUUAAAAAGAAUACCGGUGGCGAAGGCGACUUACUGGGCUCAUUCUGACGCUGAGGAACGAAAGCGUGGGUAGCAAACAGGAUUAGAUACCCUGGUAGUCCACGCUGUAAACGAUGAGUGCUAGGUGUCGGCGUAAGUCGGUGCCGCAGUUAACACAAUAAGCACUCCGCCUGGGGAGUACGUGCGCAAGCAUGAAACUCAA